AUGGGCUCGCCUGCAAGCAGCGGCAACACGCCGUGCUGCCACCUCCUACUUCUCCUUUUCAUUUGCUUACAAAUAUUUGUAGCGAAUUCUCUGCAUCUGCUCCUGCUCCCGCUCCCGCCGCAACCACCCCGUCUCCCUUCUCAUUCAGCUUCGACUUCUCCAACGCAUCCACCUACCACAUAGAAGACCUGAAAUUCGAGGGGGAUGCGACCGUUCAUGGCGACCUGGUUGACCUCACCUGUAACACUUACAAGAUGAACCCCACUUUCUGUAUGGGACGGGUGUCGUACCGGCACCCGGUGCCGUUCUAUGACAACGUCACCGGCGAGGUGGCCAGCUUCCAGGCGCGGUUCACCUUCGUGAUCCAUAUCGACGACGAUACUAAGAACAACAAGGGGGACGGCAUGACUUUCUUUCUUGCCUCUUACCCGUCAACUAUGCCGCCAAACUCAGGCGGGGGUAACCUCGGCAUGAUGCCCUUAGGCAACGGCAAGAGCCCAACCGCCUUCGGGAAUGACCGGUUCAUCGCGGUGGAAUUCGACACCUACGACAACUACUGGGACCCCAACACCACCUACGACCACAUUGGCAUCGACAUCAGCUCUGUCAUGGACUCGGUGAACACGACAAUACUGGAUAGCUUCAGCCUCAAUGGCACCAUGACGGCCACGGUCACCUUCGACAACACCACCCGGAUGCUGGUAGCAGACCUGCAGUUUGAUGACCAGAGUAACAAUCUCCCGGUUCGGGUCACCACGCAAUUACCCGAUCCAGUCACCUUGCUCCCGCCUCAGGUGGCCAUUGGGUUUUCUGGAGCCACAGGCGCCAGCUUGGAGCUGCAUCAGAUACUAUCAUGGUCCUUCAACUCCUCGCUUGCUCCGCCCCACAAAGAUCAUGACAUGAAGGCUGCAAUUAUUGGAGGGUCGCUUGGAGGAGCUGUAGCAUUGGUGGUUAUGGUGUGGUGUAUCAUUGCAUGUUUCAAGUGGACAUGGAGCACAAGCCAUGACCUUGUAGCACAAACUGGAGGACCCAGACGGUUCGACUACCGUGAUCUGGCUUCUGCAACAGACAACUUCUCUAAGCAAAGGGUUAUUGGGAGAGGUGCCUUUGGAGAAGUCUACAGGGGUACAUUCUCAAAGGGAUUGUCAUCAGGUGCUCCCUCAAGAGAAUCAGGUGGUUUUUCCUCCAAGGAAUCGUGUGCAUCGUCCUCCAAGGAUUCAGGUACAUCGUUGAACUCAAAAGAAUCAUAUGGUGGCGAGGUGGCUGUAAAGAAGAUCUUGAACAAGAUAAGGGGAGGAAAUCAGGACUUCUUCACUGAGAUGAACACCAUUAGCGAAGCGAAGCAUAGGAAUCUCGUCAAGAGUUUUGAAUUUCAUUGCCGGGGUUGGAGCUGCAGCAAAAAAUCACAAAACGAAAUCCAAAAUCUUGGCUGGUGUUGCAUGAAGAAAAAGGAUGAAGAGCUCUUCCUUGUCUAUGAGCUGGUGCCUAACGGCAAUCUGCACCACCACCUACAUGAGACAGAGCAGCCAAUACAGUGGCCAACAAGGUACCAAAUCAUCAAAGACAUUGGCUCUGCCCUUGUUUACCUCCACCAUGACUGCGCCCCACCCAUUCUGCACAGAGACAUCAAACCAGGCAACAUCCUCUUAGACAACAACUUCAACGCCAAGCUUGCCGACUUCGGGCUGUCAAGGAUCGGCAACCAAGACAACGUGACGCUAAUGACGACUGCUGUUGGGACAGAAGGGUACAUAGAUCCAGAGUGCAGGAAAGCGGGGAAAGUCAAGUUCAACCUUAGCUCAGACGUCUUCAGCUUCGGGAUCGUCCUCUUGGACAUCACGUGCACGGGAAAGUCCAGGGAGCAGGUCUGGGAUCUGUAUGUAAGAGGCAGGGUGAUGGAAGCUACAGAUGACAGGCUACAUGGUUGUGGCGACUCGGACAUGAGGCAGAUGGAGCGUGUGGCUAUCCUAGGGCUCUGGUGUUCUCUUCCUGACAGUAGGAAGAGGCCUACCAGUAAGGAAGCAAUGGAGGUCCUCGAACGUGGUGUGUCGUUGCCUGACCUUAACCACCUGUUGAACACUACUUCGGUGCCCUCCUCAAUGCAACAAGAUACCUACACUACUAGUAGCUCGGGCCCACAAGCACCGACGUCAGAUGAAAGCCCAUUUGGUGAGCGGCAUGCAUGACUUCUGGGGGUUAAUAAUGCAUUGCAUACUAGUAGUUGCUUCUCUCAUCUACUUAAUGUGUUCCAAUAAGCGUCGUGUUUGUAUGGUUUUACAUUCAUGCCGGAUUGGCCAUAUGUUGUCUGGACGUAAUAUACAGUUACGUGUAACACACUGUAUGUAUGCAUUUGCUUUGCAUUCAUGUUGGUUUGCUGAUAUAUAGAUAUGGAUGUAAUAAGAUGUUAUGUGGCAGAUA